rnacentral:hammerhead_ribozyme from 1 species
GUACUGCUGAAGAGUCGUAAAUUAGGACGAAACAGCUGUCCAGUAC